CAAGGCCUGGUGGGGUGGGGCCGGCCGCUGCCGCUGCCUCGCGGCCCCAUCGGCGUUCCGGAGCGGUCGUUCAGUCAGGGCUGGAAGCGGAGGUGAUAGCGGGGAGCCGUGACCAGACCCGCCCGGCGGCCGUUCGUUUCGGUCACAGCGGUUCUAAUCGCCACCGACCCCGGCGCGGCCCAGACAGGCGGCCCUCCCGCGCUCUGCCGUGCCCCGAGGCGCUGAGGGCCCCGCGCCGGGACGGCCGCCGAACUCAGCGGGCUGUGCCGUCACCUCAGGAUCCGGGGCGAGAGAAAUCGGGAAAUCAGACAGAGGAAGAGUUUUGGAGUUAAUCUGCAUUAAUGAGCCCAGAUCGAGACAUAAAUAGAGCUGGCGCACGUAACCUUUCAUGUGAUGAGUUGAAAACACAAUCAUAGAUUUUUUUUUUCCUAUGAGUUAUUCAUAAACUUGCAUAAAUGCAUUAAAUCUGCAUAGUACCAUAGGGUGAAGUCUUUAUCUGCGGCCCCGUGAGGCAUGCACAGCCCGACGAGCCCUCAGAGAGACAUUUCUGCUCGUCCCCAGCGUUCCUGAGGAGGGAUUUGCUUUUUCUUUGUGGUAAACUCCUAGUAUGGAAUCAUUCCUCAGUAACAUGCAGUUAGACACAAUUCCAUCUGCAUCCUCACCAUCUUUGUACUUUGUAUAGUUCUAUAAGAGAGACACAACUACAUUGUACCUCUAGCACAUGGCUCCUGCCUGUACCUGAGUCCCUCAGGAAGGUUCCCCCACAGAGUGCUGGGGAACAAAACGGCUCUCCCUGCCUGUUCCCUCUCCCGUCCUUUGGUGGGAGAUCGGUGGUGAUGAGGAAUGGAUGCUGAAAGCAGUGACUCCAGAAGUACCAACCACCAACAACGUGAGUCAACUGGAGGCCCCACAUCACAGAAUGUAGCCAGAGCAAACCACGGACUUCAUUUUCUGUGGCGGAGACAGUUUUUGUCACAGUGCUGUGCUCAGUGACCCAGAUAAAGUCUGUUCCCUCUCGUGGAGCUGAGUUAUUUUCUGUCCUCCCUUCCUCCUUCCCAUUGCCUUUUCACCUCAAGAAAAAGGGCAAUAUUACGGCCCACAACCAGGUUACUUCCUCACCUGCUUCUCUGGUGACUGGAGCAGAAGAGAAAGAUCUGUGGGUUUGGUGCUUGCUAGCCACUGGAAACAGGAAGGAACACUCCACUGACAGCUGAAGCAAAUAUGAGUCAGCCUGGAGAGGAAUCAUAUACCAGUAGUUGGUAACAGCAUGAAAGCAAUUCCUUUUUGUAUUCACCUGUAUGCUUCGCUGCCUGCUGAAAAUCAGGCUGCCAAUUAAAUAUUCACUUCAGGGCAAUAAUGGAAAAGGAAUUUUUAUAUGAAAUCAGAGUUUAAUAGUUAUAUAUAUUAAAACUCUUACAACUUCUGUUCUUCUUCAAGAUUUCACACUUGAUGCCAUAGGAAAACAACACCGUCCACCAAAGUCCUACUUUUUAUUGCUGUGCCAUAUUACAGCAGGUAUUUCUAGGCUUACUGGGAAAAUCCAUAAAUGAGGUCAACAACAUUUUAUGAUAUUUUUGUAGAACUAUGAAAGAUAUAAGAAGGAAAUUUAUUUUAGUCAGUGCCACUGAGAUACAAUAUUCAGUUCAAAAGAACAAAAAGUAUUCUAUUUAAUUCUGUUUUCCACCAUGUGGAUCAAUUAGUAAUUAAAUACUACAGAGACCAAUAUGCAGUAACAACUCAGCUGUGGAACGUGAGAAUUUUCAGUAAUAUUUUAUGUGGGUUUAGCUCUGCCAAACUCUGUUAAGAACAAUAGGGAGGGAAAGCCUUGUCCCAAGUUCUAAAAAAAUAUUUAUAAAACCACCCUUGGCUAUUUCCAUAUAGUCAGCACAAAGCCAUUCGUGGAAACAUCACAUCUAUUAAUUUUGCUUGAAAAGAGGAAUCCAACAUAGUUAUGAAAGUGGUAUUCAUUUUGUCAGACAGCAGGAGCUGCACUGUGCGACUGUACCUAUAGUACCGGGCUCUGGAGUGCUUUAUCCUUCUAGUGUGCCAACUUUUAAAGGUUGGGAUAGGGAACAUGUCUUAAAUCUAUUGCGUUGGUUGGUCUUGAUAGGGCACUGCAGCCAUCAUUGAUUCCGUUAUAUUUGUCAACGUGAACAUGAUUAUUUGGUAUAAAUUUCAGUUUCCACCCACCUGAGGGAACCACCACAGGCUGACAGUUCAUAGUUGGGUAACUUACUGACAACAAUCAUUUGCAAAUUGGUGUGGCACAAACAUCAUCUGCACAUCAUCAUUAGCCUGCCUUGGAGUCCUGUUCGAGCUACAGUAAACUUCCAUUGCGCUGUGAGCGAUGAACACAAUUAAGUAUUCCACCAGGGAUGCAAAAAUGUCCAGUAUGUCUUUACAUCAAUACUGAAAUUAUACCUACUUACAAGAUGCUCCCUGACUUCAGAGGCAAAUUGCUCAGGAUCCUGCACGUUGUCUUCUACAAAACAUCCUGUAGUUUUAAAAGUUGGCAGGAGAAUAUAAGUCCUCAUUAUUUAUCUCUAGGGAAAAUGACUGGAGUAAGAAAUAUCAGGCAUCACUGUAGAAUUACAGAACCAUAGGUUUUUGCAAUAUUUCUAAUCAAAUCAUUUUAGACACUAAAAUACUAACUCCUUAUACCAACUAUGGUGUAGAGAAAAAAAAAGAUGAACCUGUAAACAUUUUCUUUUACUUGCUACAUGAAGCAGCCAAAAAAAAAAAAAAAAAGGUUGUAUAUCCUAAAUGGGAUUAUGCAUUAUUGUACUGAAGAAUAUCUUUACUGGUCAAGUUUUUAAGAUUCUUCACCAAUGGCUCUUAAUCUGAAGAAGGCCACUCCAUCAAAUUAUUAAUAUUCAUAUUUAUUUUAACAGAUAAUCUUUAUUGUCAAUGAUGUGGUUGCAUUUCCAGCUGUUUUAGGCAGCCUUGGCCCAGCUGUUAGGUGCUAUGGAAGCAGUGGGGCUAGCUCCAUGCCACACAUGUAGAGCCACUUCAGAUACAUUUACACAAAUUUCCAAGAUUGGGAGUACCUAGCACAUCAUUUGUACUCCUGCCAAGCCACUAAGUUUUGACUGAAGGUAGCCAGUAGUAGGUCACUGGCUACUGCCAACUGCUCUGAGGUGAGCUGGGAGGCUUUCUGCAUUGCAGCACCACGCACAAAGAACAUGCACAUUUGAUAUAGCUUGCUGUGGGUGCUGUGUUUGGAUUGCUUGCAAUUAGCUGCAGUGGUUACAACACUAAGACCCAUUCUCCAUUCCUGAGGAUGUCUGCUAAUCACAGUACAUUCCCUGGCAAAGGAAUAUCAUCUUCCAUGCUAGCAAACUCAUGGAAAGUUAAAG
ensembl:lncRNA